rnacentral:rRNA from 1 species
UACGUAGGUGGCAAGCGUUGUCCGGAUUUAUUGGGUUUAAAGGGUGCGUAGGCGGCUUUGUAAGUCAGUGGUGAAAUAUGGCAGCUCAACUGUCAGGGUGCCAUUGAUACUGCGGAGCUUGAGUACAGAUGAGGUAAGUGGAAUUUCAGGUGUAGCGGUGAAAUGCGUAGAUAUCUGAAGGAACAUCAGUGGCGAAAGCGACUUCCUGGACCAAUACUGACGCUCAUGUGCGAAAGCGUGGGGAGCAAACAGG